rnacentral:tRNA from 1 species
UCCUCAGUGCUCAGUGGUAGAGCGAUCGACUGUUAACAAACUGGUCGUAGGUUCGAAUCCUACUUGGGGAG